rnacentral:rRNA from 1 species
UACAGAGGGGGCAAGCGUUGUUCGGAAUUACUGGGCGUAAAGGCGCGUAGGCGGCCUGCUAAGUCGAACGUGAAAUCCCCGGGCUUAACCCGGGAACUGCGUCCGAUACUGGUGGGCUUGAAUCCGGGAGAGGGAUGUGGAAUUCCAGGUGUAGCGGUGAAAUGCGUAGAUAUCUGGAGGAACACCGGUGGCGAAGGCGGCAUCCUGGACCGGUAUUGACGCUGAGGCGCGAAAGCUAGGGGAGCAAACGGG